rnacentral:miRNA from 1 species
AGAAAGUCUGUUGUUGUAAACAUCCCCGACUGGAAGCUGUAAGACGUGGCUCAGCUUUCAGUCAGAUGUUUGCUGCUACCGGCUGUUCACAGACAUC